rnacentral:lncRNA from 1 species
UACAUGGUAGCAUACUUUCUUAGCAAAUCUAACAAGGGAGUUUCUGCCAUUCUCGAAAUGUCAUAAAGGUUGAUGCUUCAAGGCAUGUAUUACAUGGUAUCAGAUAGUGCCUGAUCCAGCCACAAUGGAAAUACAGUGCUAUAAAGUAGCAAAUAAUCUUAGGAAACGUAACACAGAAGGAUCUCAUUUCCGAUCCAUGGAGCAGAAGGCCCGAUGCACGGAUGCAGGGUAGGCAUCAUCAUGACAUCAUCCUAAUAGUUAACUGGUCAAUAAGAGCUCUGGUGCAAAGCAGAACUGCAUUCAGAACACCAUCGAAAAACAAGAAGCGACACACUGCAAAGAAGGAACCACAUGACAAACUGCUAAACCAUACCUGUGGCACACGGUCCACUUCCCUUUACUGGCAGUCAGUGCUUUCUUAGUACGGAAAGCUUGAAUAAUCGCAGCAUGAAGUGGACGGCUCCUCCAUCAGUGGCUUGCUGUUUAUGACCAGAGGCAAUUAGACACAAUUCAGAAGGAAGAAGGAUGCUCACCGGCGUCCACAAUAAUGCUCUCUCUGGGCUGCGGAAAAGAAACAUCUUUUUGAAGAUGAUGUGGGGUAAAAUAUACAGAUAUGACGUAAUAUUUCAAUUCAGACAAAAGACUUACAAGCAUUACUUGGACAAGGAAUGAAACAACAUCAACGAAAAUCAGAGAGGGUCAUGACGC